GCCUUCUUAGCCCAGUGGUAGAGCGCGUCACUAGUACAAACUUGAAAUAUAUAUAUACAGUCAUGACGAGGUCGUUCGUUCGAAUCGGGCAGGAGGCA